rnacentral:rRNA from 1 species
GUCUAUGGUCAUGCCACCCUGAACAAGCCUGAUGUCUGAUCUCAGAAGCUAAGCCAGGUCGGGCCUGGUUAGUACUUAGAUGGGAGACCACCUAGGAAGACCAGGUGCUGUAGGCA